rnacentral:rRNA from 1 species
GACGAACGCUGGCGGCGUGCCUAAUACAUGCAAGUUGAGCGCUGAAGGUUGGUACUUGUACCAACUGGAUGAGCAGCGCACGGGUGAGUAACGCGUGGGGAAUCUGCCUUUGAGCGGGGGACAACAUUUGGAAACGAAUGCUAAUACCGCAUAAAAACUUUAAACACAAGUUUUAAGUUUGAAAGAUGCAAUUGCGUCACUCAAGGAUGAUCCCGCGUUGUAUUAGCUAGUUGGUGAGGUAAAGGCUCACCAAGGCGAUGAUGGAUAGCCGACCUGAGAGGGUGACGGGCCACAAUGGGACUGAGAUAGGGCACAGACUCGUACGGGAGGAAGGAGUGGGGAAUAUUGCACGAUGGGCGGAAGCGUGAUGCAGCAACGCCGCGUGCGGGAUGACGGCCUUCGGGUUGUAAACAGCUUUCGACUGUGACGAAGCGUGAGUGACGGUAAUGGGUAAAGAAGCACCGGCUAACUACGUG